GCUUGGCGGCGAUGCUUUCACAUGCAAGUCGAGCGAGGCGGCCCGCAAGGGCCAGUCUCCCGGCGAACGGGUGAGUAACGCGUGGAUAACCUGCCCUGAGGUGGGGAAUAACCCGUUGGCAAACUCGGGCUAAUACCGCAUGAAACCGAGAGGUCAAAGCGGGGUUCGCAAGAGUCUCGCGCCACAGGAGGGGUCCGCGUCCGAUUAGCUAGUUGGUGGGGUAAAGGCCUACCAAGGCGACGAUCGGUAGCCGGCCUGAGAGGGUGAUCGGCCACACUGGAACUGAGACACGGUCCAGACUCCUACGGGAGGCAGCAGUGGGGAAUUUUGCGCAAUGGGCGAAAGCCUGACGCAACAACGCCGCGUGGAGGAUGAAGGUCUUUGGAUUGUAAACUCCUGUCAGCCGGGGAAAAAGGGACU
rnacentral:rRNA from 1 species